UCCCAUAGAUCAUAUGGAGGAAGUUCUCUCAGUUGAGGGGAAUGUUGUCUGGCUCGAGGUCACCAAUUAGAUCCAUAAUCCCUAUAUAUACCAUGCUUUUCAAAAAAAAGAUUUAUAAUAUGAAAAGGGGUUAUGAAUCAUGUGUUAGUGUUGUCGGACCAGGCUUCAUUCCCCCCAAUUGUUACUCCUCUAGCUAGGGGA